rnacentral:lncRNA from 1 species
UUGUGUUGACUGAGAAAAAGAAAAAUUCAAAUCCAAUUAAUUUUUGGAUAGAAGUCUUGAGAGAGAAGCAAUCCAAUAGGAUGAAAAGUGAAAACAACGUUAAUGAAAGCAUCAAAGAGAAAAGAAGCUUUUUUGGGUUUUGGCUAACUAUGGACCAUGGAGAAAGGAGCCAUUCCUUUUUCAGAAAAUUUAGCAUAUAUUCCGUCUGACGUUGAUCCCAUUAUCUCAGGCAGACUUAACCAUCUAAAAGCUUUUUGAUCGGUUGACUCUGCAAUGAAAAGAAGCUUAUUCACCCAAACCCAUGUGCCUCCACCAAAUCUAUAAUUUCUGAU